GCUAAGAUUUUUCAUGAAUACGGGCCCUGAUCUUUCUCCGUCUGUAAAUGGCUUUUCUCUGAAAGCAUUGUAGUACAACUGUGAUCACACUAAUGGUCGUCAAAAACACGGUUACUAAACUUUUAAUUUUGGUAAGGGAGGAUCAGUUCGUGGAGACGGGGUAACCCACACCAGACGGCAGGGGCUGAAUUUCAGCCAUCCCAGCAGAAUGCCAACAGCCUGCCAUCUUCUGUCCUCCAGAAUGUUGCCAUGGCGAAGCCACAGGAGAUGACUGAUCUGAAAACAGAUGAGCUUGUGUUAUUGGAGAUUCCCGAAGAGACACGGAUACGACGACAAAGCCCAGUUUAAAGAGUUCACUUACACAGAGAUGUAGGAUCAUUUAUAGCUCUCGGGGUCUGUUCGUGAUCGAGGAGGAUUCGUUUAAAUAUACCUGGCAACACAUUUAGAUUUCAGCAUGCCUCAAUUAUUUCUCUUAUACAGCAAUACUGCGAAUUUAAAUGAAAAAUGAAACUUAUUUAAAAUCUAUUUCUCUCCAUGAAAUAGACUUUUGUACAUAUUAAACCAAUGAGACCAUAUUUAAUGUUCAGGUUUAAUAAAGGAUUUUAACACAGAUGGCUGCAGACGAACGGAGAUUUCAGCAGUAUGACUUCAUGGCUCAUUAUCAGCACUUCAGACGGCCAGGAAUGAUUGACUUUGCUCGACUCCACUGGACUCGUGUUGGUCUCGGGAGAUGACUGCAGGAGAAACCGGAUCCACAGCUGACAGAGCAGGAAACCCUGACGCCGAGCGAUGAUGUCAUCAGUGUUCUGUCAUGAGUCUCAGCCGCUGCUCGUCGUGAGCGCACACAAAUCACUUUACACAAGAUUACAUUGUAAGAACAAUGAUUCAAUGUUUUCCAAACCCACAGCUGAAUGAUAUUUCUCAGGGGUUUCUCUUUCACAGCUCAGGAGAAUUAAUGGAGUUCUCGGUCAGUUACGGUCAGUUUAUUGCUUAAGAAGUGAGAAAUGGAGCCUUUAUAGUUCAAAUUUGUGUGUUCAAAUAUAUUUUCCUGUCAAUAUAUUUGAUCAUUUAUGAUUUAUUUAAAAACAUAUCGACUUUAUUAAUGUAUUUAAAUUUUACAAUAUAUUGAAUAAUAAGGAAUUGUCACUUUUUAUAUAUUGAAAAACAUAAGCACUUGGUUACAAUGUAUGGAAAUGUUUUAUUUAAUAUAUUGCAUAGGCUUAUUUUUCCAGUAUAUUUCUGUUUAUGUUUGCAUGUGUUUAUGUGUGAAUUUGAGUGUUUGCCUUUUCUUGUUUUCUUGUUUUUUGUGUGUGUGCGCGUGUGUGCGUGCGUGUGCGUGCGUGCGUGCGUGCGUGUGUGUGUGUGUGUGUGUGUGUGUGUGUGUGUGUGUGUGUGUGUUUGUUUGUUUGUUUAGGUGCGUGUCAGUGUGUGUUUGACAGUAUUCCAGAUGAUUCCAGAUGUGUUUGUGAGCAGCUGAUAUCAGAACAGAACAUGUUGUGAAUAACAUCAUCAUGUGUCAGGUACACUGCAGUUUUAAAAGGCGUUUAAGGGCAUCAGAGAGUUUGUGUCAGAUCAUGUAAGAGUUUUGAUUGAUUGGUCAGGUGUGUGAUGAACGUCUCUCUGUGUGUCCUCUGGCCGUCUGUCUCUUCAUCAGUGGAACUGAGUCGAUAUAUCAGCGUGACAUGCAGCUCCGCAGGAAAGCAUCGCAUGCGGCCAAACAACCUGAUUUAAUUAAGAGCCGCCGUAAAAAUCACGGUUUCACAGAAUAUUUUCAUUCUGGAAUAGACUUUAAUGUAUGUAGAGUAUUACCCGUGAGGUUUGACCGCAGCAUUGAGAGGAGAUGUCAGAGAUUCACACAGCAGGUUCAUCACAUUCUGUGUGUGUGUGUGUGUGUGUGUGUACUGAUAUUCAUCACUGUGUGAGGACCUAACGUCCCCACAAAGAUAGUAAUGCCAGUAGAUUUUGGCCUUGUGGGGUCCCCAUGAGGCAAAACAAAUGAUAAAUCAUACAGAAUUAUAUUUAUUGAAAAUUAAAAAACGUAGAAAGGUUUGUGUGAGUAUUAGGUUUACGUGUUGGGGUGUAAUAUGGAAUGUUCCCAUAAAACAUGGAAACCAGUGUGUGUGUGCGUGCGUGCGUGCGUGCGUGCCUGCGUGUGUUUGUGAUGAUAGUGUCCAGCUGUAGGACACCACAGAGAAGUUUGUUAUCCUAACUGUCUCGACCUUUGACCCUCCUGUUUGCUGGAAUUUCAUGUUGCGAAUAAAAUAAAAACAGCAGCUGUAGUUUAUUUCCCCAACUCAGUGAAAGUUGAGUUUACGCUGGCUGAUAUUCAAAGGUCAUUCUCUCUUUCUCAAUGCUCUAAAUAUAGUGGAAUAAUACAGCAAACAUUAACAGAACAUUUGCUGUGUCUGAAACCGCUCCCUCGCUCACUCCUUCACUACUCCCUAUAGAGCCGAUGACAUUUGAGUCCACUACAUGUGGAAGAAAUGAAUGAAAAUGAGAUUUCGGACACUGACGUAUAAAGCCUGCAUCUGAGAGUCCUGUCCCAGAAGUUCAUAAUUAACACAACGAUUCGCUUAUAUUACACCUGUCUGGCUUUGUGGAUUGUUUUAUACAAAUACUCAAAUUCAUUUUCACUUGAUUUGUCCCGUUUAUUGUAUCAGUUUAAAAUAAAGAGAACAAAACAACCCUCACAUUUAUUUGCAGGCAUGCUUAUGUAUCACGUUUAAUACAAUUAUUUUAUAUAUUUAAAAUAAAACACCAGUGUUUAUGUAAUAAGUGUGUAUGAUCACACAUUCGUGGCAUUAACGGUCACUCUCCACCAGCUGAUUCUAAUCAAGCUGUCCUCUCGUGUUGCAAAGUGGGAAAUAAUGAAUGAGCGAGUGUACAUAGGAUGUGCACUCAACAGCAGAGUGCAUUGUGGGUAAAAAGAGUGAACGAAUGUAGGGAAUGAAGUUCACUCAGGUUUCGCACACCGCUACAGAAUGGCGGACACCCGAUAUAGUGCACUAUAUAGGAGAUAGGGAGCGGUUUCAGACACAGCUAUGCACUCUUCUCCCCUGUCAUGCUCACAGCUCUAGGUAGAGAUGAUUGGCUUCCCUUGGGGCAGCGGAUGUGUUUUCUCCCCCUGAGUGUAAACGCGGAAGUGGCCGUGCAUCGAGUGUAUCGUCUUUUCACAGGAGAAUCGUUUGACAAACAUGUAAACUGAAGUGUGACAUCUACUGUCCCGGAGGUGAUCGAGUCUCACACAGUCAGAAAAACUCCAUCAUGACAUCAGAAACACAGCAGCAUCUCAGACAGAUGGAGAGACGCAGACCGUGGUCCAUCACCAUGGCAACCGUCUCACAGAUGCAACUGGAUGACAGCUGCUGUUUCAGUAGGACUCCUCUUGAAUUAUUCCAUCAAACUUUCAGCUUCAUCUUCAUUCUGCACGUGACGCUUUAGAGAACAUUAUCUCAGUUUUCUUCAAGUGACUGUGUUCAAUGGCGACGUUUAAAGAAAAACAAGCUUACAUGAAGAUUGGCAUAAAAAGUUACCACAGGGAGCGAAAAAAAAUCAUUCUAAUGAAAGUGAGACUGGAUUUCGGCAGGAGGCACUGAAUUGAACCGCCCUCCUCUGACCCGAAAGAGAGAGAGAGAGAUCAGUUUCUCUCACUGUGUUCAGUGUAAAUCCAUCAUGUGACACAAGCUACUGUGUGUUCAAAACCUUUUCAGUCUUCAUGAUAAAGCACCAUUAGUUUGUGCCCUGAACGUGUAAAUGUUGUUUGUCAGAGCAGUUUGGCACAGACUCAAAAGAUUCAUACGCUACAAAAAUCAUGUACUAUAUACCACUAGUAAACAUGCAUUUAGUGUUUGACGAUGAUUUGAUGUUUAAUAACAGAUGUUGUGAUGGUUUCCCAUCGUGCCGUGUCUGACCUCAUGAAACGUUCACUGUGGAAGAAAACACACACACACACACACACACACACACACACACACACACACACACACACACACACACACACAGCGAGGUUCAUUAUGUCCCACCGACUCACAUGCUGGGCUAGUCCGCUCUUAUCACAGGAGUCGUGACGUGUGAUUGGUGGAGAGGAUCAGGUGACCGAACGGCCUCUCGGGAGGAAAAAUUCAGGUUUGCGUCUGAAGUUUCGUGUGGGGCUCGUUUUUCAUUGGUUAUUUAUGAAGUGUGGGAACGAGAAGCUUACGGGGCGGGGAGACACACCGACGCAUUGUGACCCGAUAGACGACUCCAAGGAUACCUGUUUCAUUCCACGGAACAAACGUGCGUGUGUGUCCUCUCAUGGGAUUGUACAGCACAUUGUGUAAACAAACUCUUUCCUCGUGUAACUCAAAUACAUCUCUAUUCAUCACAGGAGACGGCCCUCCUGCAUUUAAUGUCACAUUCCCAAAGAGAUCCCCUUCCAUCUGAACCAAACAUACAGUACACGUACACGUCAAGAGUAAAGACACCUUCUGUCACGUCUGAGUGAUUAUUAACUGCAUUGUGGCAUCAUACAUUCAAUUAAAACAUUAUAAUAAAUGUUGGGUCUUUAGUAAUCUGACAUUAUAGUCUCAUUUGAAACUAGUAUUAUGUGCUUCUUAUUUAUUUGAUUUACCAUGUAGACGUUUAAUGACCAAUAGAAAGAAAACAAUAACAAUGAGGAAAGAUCAGAAGCACACACACUCGCUCACACAUACAGGACAUACAGUGGUCAGUAUAACACGUUUAUGUAAAUAGUGCAUUGUUUCAAUCAGUUUUACAAGAAAAUACAAAAUAAUAUUUCAAAUGUAACUUAUGCAAUCAAAUACUCUACAUGACAUUAUUAAAACUGUAUUGCCCUUAUAGAAAGGUUUUUGUUUACUUUUAAUAGACUAGGACAUAAAAAACAGGUAUCAUAAUGGAGCAGACAUUAUUAAGAACAGCAAAUUAUAUAAGAACAGGAGUAACAGAGAGAGAGAGAGAGAGAGAGACAGAGAGAGAGAGAUGGAGAGAGAGACAGAGAUGGAGAGAGAGAGAGAGACAGAGAGAGAGAGAGAGAUGGAGAGAGAGAGACAGAAAGAGAGAGAGAGAGAGACAGAGAGAGAGAGAGAGAGAGAGAGAGAGAGAGAGAGAGAGAGAGCAGCAGUACUGUAGGCACAGUAAACAGUGUGUCAGCAUCAUUACUCAACACCUGAUGAUUAUUUACACACAAACAUGCGGCUGGCAGAGAUGUGGUGACGCAUCAGAAAGCAUCUGCUGUCUGUCUCAGAGCUCAGGGUUCCUGAGGACAAACACUGACCCCGGUUCAGUGCUAACACACUAAUGUCUCGAAUGAGUUUAAAACGGCUGAAUCCUCCUCCUUCAGGAUCAAGAGCUUUAAAUGAUUAUUUAUCGCAAAUCAUCACUAUUCACAUUGUGUGUGUGAGCGUGUGAGCUUGUAAUUACACACAUUCAGUGAGCUCUGGUCUACUAUCCGACGAGUAAACCCAAGGUUUGGAAGUCCCCUCUGUCAGGAGACCACACACACACACACACACACACACACACACACACACACACACACAUGCGUCAUUUCCACAUAACCACAUUUCCACACAAUCCGUGUAAGAUUAAACACUCACUAUUUUCAAGUCCAAUUUAAAAACCUAUUUUUAUAGUUUGGCAUUGAACUCUGAAAAUUUGAAAUUUUUCUCUCUGAAAUUUUUAUUUCAUUUUAAUCUAUUUUUCUCUUAUCUAAUCUUACUUACAAACGUUUUAAUAGUUGGUCUUUUUGAUAUUCUUGUAUUGUAUUGCUUAUGCUUGUACAGCACUUUGGCGAUCACUUGUUUCUUUAAAGUGCUUUAUAAAUAAAGUUUGACUUGACUUGACUUCAGACAGUUCAGGUUCACUGUAAUCAUUUGUCCCAUCUGUUUCAUGACACUUUUCAUUUAUGAUCGGCGCACCUCCUGACGGUUUAUGAACAUCACGCUGUCUUCAAGAGACCUCGUUUAGGUUGAAUUCUGAGGCACUAUCACAUAAAUCCAGAAAUCACCGUAACCUCAGUCAAAGAUAAGAUUUCAGAAGGAGAACGUGUGUAUUAUCUCCAUAUUUUGUGUAUUUUUUGCCACAAAUCAUUAUUAGUCGCCCUUUAUGUUUGUCACUGCUUGCAAAUAUCUAACCAAUAAAAACGUAUGAGGAAGUGCUUGUCAACUCUGACAACAGCGUUUAAUUUCAUAAAAGUAAAGAGUUUUUUCCCAUUUCAUGAGAAACGGAAUUUAGACAUCAAGGUUUUAUGAAGGACAGCGAUGGUAUGUGUGGACAGACGGGGGAUUUCUGUUGUGUUCGAGUGUGUCUGGACUUCAUGAUUUGUAUCUUAAAAUAGAUUCUCUCAGCUCUGUUGUGUGUUUGUUUGUCGAGGUCACCCGCGCCGCGUUUAUCAAGACGUAGGCCAGUCAUUUUCCAAGAGCCACACACAGACCUAAUGACAGCUGAACACACACACACAGCCCUGUUCUCGCUUGCACGAUAUCACCACGGCAACACCACCACUCGAUAUGUUCAAGACCAAUGGUGAGGGAUGUUUGAGGAAACACCCACUCCGGUCUGCACACGUGAUUGGCUAAUGAACUUCUGUCGUUGAGAAGUCACACGAGAAACACGCUGCACGCACCACUUUAGGAAGAUGACAAGAAAACUAAACGCAACACAAUCUCUUAUUCAAAUCACCGUGGUAUUAUUACAGUAAAAGUGCAGUAACCAGUAGAUUCGUCUGGUCUAAAUCUCUUAUUCACCAUCAAAACCAGUUGAAAUUCUUUGUGAGCGAGUUGAGACCUCAGUUCAGGAUUGGGAAUGUUUGGAAUAGCUCCAGUGGGAUAUUUUCUCUUUUCCAUCUGUAUGUGGUGUGUGUUUAAGCUGCACAGAACCGUGAAGGGUCCAGUCCGAACGCCACACGCUUCCCUUUUGUUUUCCUGGAGUCUGUUGGUUUUCUUGUGUUGAGUUAAAGACAUUGAAGUGGGUGAGAUAUUCUGAGGUUUCCGGAGAGAGAGCUCCACCCCAGUGAUAACAGAUCACGAUACACAAUACACACAGCCUUAUUUCUCACAGGUUUCUCUUUUAGAGCUCAGGAGUUCUCACUUUAAGUAUCAACUCAGUCUCAGAUGUUUCUCCUAAAAUUGGUUUUAAGAAAAUAAUAUCAAUCUUGACUAUUCUGUUCAUACUGAGAUAGUAUAUAUACAGUAGAUACUUUAUACUUUUAUUUUUAUCUUAAUCUGUAUUUGUGCAGAAUGUUUAUAUUACAUUUGGCAAUGUAAACAUUUGUUUUAUCAGGCCAAUAAAGCUUCUUUGAAUCAAACGAGAGUGUAAUCGUGUAAACACAUGAAGAGUAUGGAAGUGUGAAUAAAUGUUGAUUGUUGAGGUGAAAUCAUCUGUGAUUUGAUUAAAUGAGAUGAGAAAUGUUU